AUUGAACGCUGGCGGCAUGCCUUACACAUGCAAGUCGAACGGUAACAGGUCUUCGGGUGCUGACGAGUGGCGAACGGGUGAGUAAUACAUCGGAACGUGCCCAGACGUGGGGGAUAGCUCGGCGAAAGCCGGAUUAAUACCGCAUAAGCUCUGAGGAGGAAAGCGGGGGACCGUAAGGCCUCGCGCGUUUGGAGCGGCCGAUGGCAGAUUAGGUAGUUGGUGGGGUAAAGGCUUACCAAGCCUACGAUCUGUAGCUGGUCUGAGAGGACGACCAGCCACACUGGGACGGAGACACGGCCCAGACUCCUACGGGAGGCAGCAGUGGGGAAUUUUGGACAAUGGGCGAAAGCCUGAUCCAGCAAUGCCGCGUGCAGGAUGAAGGCCUUCGGGUUGUAAACUGCUUUUGUACGGAACGAAAAGGCGCCUACUAAUACUGGGUGUUGAUGACGGUACCGUAAGAAUAAGCACCGGCUAACUACGUGCCAGCAGCCGCCGUAA
rnacentral:rRNA from 1 species